UGUCUCUUAGGACACUACCCUCUUAAGGUUUGCCUGGAAAAUCCGAGCUGAUUCAUUGAGGUCCUUUAUGCACUUGUUCUUAAAAAGAGCUUUUUGCUCUAAGGAAGGUUGCGCUCACAGGUUCUGGGUGGGUGUGUCUUCUGGGGACAAUGUUCACACCAUUGUAGGGCCCUCUCCCUUACCAUGAGCCUCACUUUCUGCUUUUCAGAAAUGUUUCAGUCCUUCCCAGCCCCACCCCAGCUCCAUCCAGCCCCUCAUCAGCUCCACCCUAGCCCCACCACAGCCCUACCCAGCCCCAACCCCAGCCCUGCAAUCUUUUGAAUCCCAUUGCUGCUUCUGCCCUGCUGGGGGCUUAGAGACCAGGAACAACAGGAAGCCUCUCAUCUGGGUACAGCAUAGGAAUCAGCUCAUGGGCAGCCAGACCCACAGAAGGGGCCAUCCAGAAGCUUAGUGGGAACAAGGUCUGAGAUCAUUGGUAGAUGUGGAGUAGGCUGAGGUUCUGCCUGGGACAGACCAGGUUGGAGCUGCUCAGACCAGAGCUGCUGAGUUGUCUUUCCCCGAGACCAACGGAAGACAACUCCAGAGCUCAUUCCUCUUGGAAACAAUCAUGUGCUCUGUCACCCCCAUAUAUUUCUGCGGCCACCAUUUUGGGGGCAGGAGGAGGUAUUCUGAGUCAGUACUUUCCUAAGACUGAAAACUGAAUACCAUAUGUCAAUGUCUUAAUACAGGCUGUCUAAAUUCAACGUAUCUUCUCCUGAGAAGAGCUUGCAGGUCCUGUUGCUUUGGGGUAUGAUCUCCUGGAGGAGAGCCCUGAGCAGCUUUGGGGUUGAGUCUCAGCUUAUUGGUAGCCAGACGCACUCGCAGUUGCUUUACCUGACGUAAAGCGACCUACUUCUUCGCGUCAGCGUUGCCUGGCUACCCAGCUCAUUAAACAUGGCGACCCGAGUGUGAGCCCUCGGUCCGUCCCUCGGCUCCUGGCAUGGAAGGCCCUCUUUAAAGAGUUUGUUUCCUGUUCAAAUGGUUUACACAUUUGAUAAUAAAAGAUAAUAAACAUUCCAUCCCAUUCAAUUCUACAUCGGACUAAGAAAGUCUUCCUCAGGUCUUUGCUUUGUUUGACUGGGAGCAGAGCACACAGGGCAGCAAAUGAACCAGGGCCCCGUGCUGUGCAAAACUGCCAUUAUCAGUAGCAGCUGUUGGCUUGCAAGGUGGACAGGCAGUGAGAGGCAACGUCACUGUCCGAGCUGUUCAGCUGGGUUUGGACAGGAGACUGAACUUCCCUGCUUUGCAGAGGACUGCCGUGUUCUCUCCUCUGCACCACCGCUGUUUGGACUCCAGAUUCAAGAAGAAAAUUUGAAAGAUUAUCACAAUUCUACAUCUCAUUUAGAUUUUUUUUCAUGGUAUGGACCUUGAAAGAACGGUUUACCGAGACCUUGCAAGUUGAAGCCUGGGUAUUGAUUGCCUCCUUCACUUCCCAACCACAUCCACAGCGAUUUGCCUUCAAAUAAUCUUCGAUGAAUUGUUCAUUUUACAACCACGGGAAGCGAUCAGUGUGCAUCGAAGGGCCGCAGAGAUUGCCUUCGUCCUCCCAGAACUUGGGUUUUUCCUGCCUCCUCAGCCGGCUUCCAGGAGGAUUCUCUAAGGCAUACUCAUCCCGGCCCCCUGUGGUCUUCCCACUGGCUUAUGGACCCAGCUGGGGGCAAAAUGGGCUUCUGCUUGGCUUCCAUGGUUCGCUGGGAAACUGGCCCAUCUCCAGGAAGGGAAUACUUGGCUGCAGCCACUACAUUGUCCCUGGCAUGAGGCCCUGAAGGAGAGGGACUAGGCUGUUAAGUCUCUCAUGAUCCAUGUGAAUUACUUCCAUGAUAAAGCUGGCUCAGAAAUGCCCCAGCUCUCCAAACUACUUCUUCAUCUGCCUCCACAGACCCCAUCAUCAUCUGAACAUCAGCCCGGGAUCCAACUCAAGCCCCGGCCUUCACAGCCAGUAGCCUUAACCCUACUGGGCCAUCUAACCAGCCCCCAUUCAUACAUAUUUUUGGUCUUGCAGCCCCCUGGAGGAUUCAAGGCCCUGCUCUACCACAAAAGCCUGUCUCAUCUGUCUCUUACCCCUCCAUGACUCUCAGGGAAGGGCACGUCUUUACUCCUUGUGUAUAUAGGAGGGAAAGGGAAAGACAGGCCGGGAGCUCACAGGUGCUCUCCCACACCAUGAACUUGGACAUCCUCCUGCACAGUAGAUUCCAGUCUUGGUUCUCCUUGCCUUGAAUAUCUGAGGAACUCACCUCGGUGAAUAGAGGUGAGAUAUUGCAGUGAUGAACUGGCCAGGUCCCAGGAAGGGAGCUCCAGCAGGGACACGGGCCUGUGAGGGAGAAGCUGGGGUGUUUCUGCACCCUCUGGACUCUUCACUGACAGAGCCUUCGAGGGAGAAGCUGGGGUGCUUCUGUACCCUCUGGACUCUUCAUUGCCGUUAUCUCUCCAGCAGCCUUGGGGUCCCAUUUGUUCUUCUAACAACCAUGCCUUUUCCCGUUUAUGGGCACCCAGGGGCAGGAGGUGGAAGCCCCACAAGGCUCUGACUGAGGAAUUGGCCCCCAUUUGCCUGUUGACAGCAGCCUCAGAGCUGAGAGUGCAGACAGGAAGACCCACACUGUGGAGUUUAAUUGGCAAUUAGAGACAGUGGCCUCCAGUGGGCCAUCACGCCACCAUCUUCAGGAGAAGAAAAUUGAUCGUGACUCCGAAAGCACACAACUUGAAGGAGAGAGACCAGCUCGGAACCUCGAGGCCAGCGAGAGGCGCGCACAACACGGGAACAGUGGGGAAGCACACUGCAUUAUUUACUGCCAUAAAAGGCAAGACUGGAGUUUUAUCAUAGAACCUGUGUCUGCAUAAAAGAACCUGACAGGGCAGAUCAAUAAACAAGGGAAUUGCUUGUCUGGAA